UGUAAUCAAUGAUGUUUUUUCAUCCGCCCAUUACUAAUAUUACAUAGUUACAAGCUAUGGUACUGGUGUAAGAUUUCAUCUUUCUUAGAAGUAGUGAUCUAUGGAUGAUGAUGCAGGGAAGCGCGGACCACUCACCCAAACUGAUUACUCUUCUCUAUUCCCUCGUAUUCGUCGCUGUAUCAAGUAGCUCCGAUUGCAAAAGCUUUCGGACGGGCACAUUCAAAAAAUAUCAGUACCCUAUGAACGAAUUGGCAGCAGAUGUAAACAGUUUUGAUUUUAGUGUCAGAGUAAUGAAUUACGCGUACAUCACGCUGUCUCCAGUAGCAAAAGAUUCAGAAUACCAAUAUGAAAUAGCUAUAGGUAACUCAGAGGAUGCUAACACGGCAGCAAUACGGCGGUGUCACCGGUGCGAAGACAAAGAAUCAAAGACAACUCCCUACAGGCUACUGGAACACAACCAAUUUAAGAAAUUUUGGGUAAAUUUUGAAUCAGGAACAAUAAAAAUAGGCCGUUAUAAUGAAACUGCGUUUCUGUCUUGGACGGAUAUGUAUCCGCUGAGUAUUCGAUAUAUAGGAAUAGCGACUUUGAGGCUCCCGGGUACCUUUACUUUCUGUGACAUUAAAUUCAAGACUAGCCAGUCGGUACCAUUAGAGGGAAUUGUGGUGUUGUGCAUUCUCUUCUUGCCGGCAACGCUUAUGCUUAUACGAUCAUACUUGAAACAUUUAAAAAGAAAGAUUGCAUAUUCGAGAGAUUCAGGCAAUGGCGAUGAAACAGAGUUAAAUAAUGCUGACGAUACUAGAGGAAUAGAAAAUCCAGCAGGACCGCUGCCAGACCCCGAUCCACCAUCUUAUGAUAAAUGUUUGGAGCUUCCUUAUGGAAGUGAGUUACUACAUUCUGCCGAUGAGGUCGCAUCUUCAUCACGUGACGUCGAAUAUAAUUCAGACCUUCCACCAAGUUACGAAGCAGCGAUGGCAUAUUUUUUAUUUGAUAUAAACUCCGAAUCACAGUCAAAUGUAAACCGGUAUCAGUUUAGUAUUAGUAGUGCCUGGGAUGGAGGCGACGCAGACAGAAAGAGUGACGAUUUAGAAACAUCCGUCUAAUCCAAACGUUUUAUUAAAUGAAUGAUAAAUGAUCUGAGGGCGGAAUUACAUCAGGUUGCUAGGAAAAUAGUGGCCCACUGACGACCAAUUACAGUCGUCCGUACAGAAGGCCUUAAUUCUGUCAGCAGGCGUGGUAAAAUUAAAUGAAAAUACACACUUCAUAGCUCUCCAAUUUAAGACUAAAAGGCUCAGAGUGUUUACAUUUUAACAGUCGUAGGAUGCAUAUUCGCUUAUUCUUAGGGACAGGCUACUUUACAAAGGCUUAAAAUUUUAUAGUUGGACUCAACGCGUUAAAUUGUAACUUAAUUCUUGUUGAUUCUAAAGCAAGUACUGUACUAUAGUAUGUUGGCUAAAGAAAUUCCAGGUAAUCUGAAGGAGCGGGCGAUUUUAAGAGACAGCAAAUAUACAAAUGCAAGUCAUGUACGUGUAAGAGUAAUGAAAGUACCGGAUCGAUUAAUACGUGAAGUAGCCAUUAAGAUUCUUGAUUAACGUCUAAGACACGUUAAUCAUUAAUCGAAAGAAAACACAAUUUUAAUAUCUUUAUUUAAAAACACUUUAUCAUCAAUCAGAAUUCCCGUAUGUCAGUCUUUGCCAGAUAUACGGGCUCUUCAAAUAAAAUUAUAUUUUGUAUCUUAUCUUAUUUUCCUCCGAUGAUUUAUUUGCCUGUUCAUUGAUCUCCUGUAACUCACUUUCUUUUUCAGCUUUUAUUCUAUAGUAUUUUCAACCCAUUGUUUUUAGAAAAUAACCCUUUUUUGGCUUAACAUAGGCCUAAAUGAAAUUCGAUAUCAUUGUGUUUUUUACUUUUUAUUUCACUUGCAAUAAAUAAUGCAUAAUAGCAAAGUAUAGGCCUACAGUAGGCCUAAAAUUAUCAAAGCGAGCUGAGCGAACGAAGCCAUAUUACUCACAUUAGGAAUUCUCCUACCCCCCCCCCCUUCUCCACUCCUUCAAAGAAGAAAGUAAAACACUUUAUUAAAGUGGGAUUAAAAGGCAUUGCCUACUGUUUGAUGUGCAGACUAACUACAGAUCCAACUAGGCCUGGGGAUUUGUGUGAUCUGACUAAAAGUGUUAUAACCCUGUACUAGUAUAGGCUCUAGGCUAAAAUGACGAAUUGAUUUACUCGUGCAAAUGUUGAGACAAUAGCUCACUAUUCACUGGUUACCUCUAUUGAUUGUUCUGUGUUCAGGAGCGUUAAAUAUCAAUUUAAUCAAUGCUGUUAUUUUAUCCGCCUACAUAACAGUAUUUAUGAGGCGACGGGUUCAAUCUUUUGCAUACUCUUCUUGGGAAUGAGUGAGAAUGCAAGGGAGCGUGGGACGCUCAUCACAGCUUAUUGCUAUCGUCUUCCUUCUCGUAUUCUUCUCUUUUUCAAGUAGCUCAGACUGUUCGCGUUUUCGGACAGACACAACAAUUAAGGAGUAUAUCUACCCCAUGAAAGAGUUAGCGGUGGAUGUAACUAGUUUCGAAGUUAGUAUCAAAGUAAUGAAGUAUGCUUACAUAACGCUGUCUCCAGUAGCAUAUGAUACGGAUAGCCAAUAUGAACUAGCUAUAGGUAACUCAGAGAAGGCCAACACGGCAGCAAUACGACGGUGUCCACGGUGCAAAGACGAAUGCUCAGAAGAAACUCCGUAUAGUUUACUGGAAUACAACCAAUUUAAGACAUUUUGGAUAAAUUUUGAAUCAGGAACAAUAAAAAUAGGCCGUUAUAAUGAAACUGCGUUUAUGUCUUGGACGGAUUCGAAUCCACUUAAUAUUCGAUACAUAGGAAUAGCAACUGGUACGGGACUUAAAGGCGUUUUUAUUUUCUGUGAUAUUAGCUUCAUUCAUGGACAGAUAUCAUCGACUGAAGGACUUUUUGGUUUGUUUGUUUUCUUUCUCCUGCCAACAUUGAUGCUAAUAAGAUCAUGCUGGAAAAAAAUUAAACGGAAUCGUAAACACUCGGAAGAUUUAACCAGUGACGAAGAAACAGAAAUAAAUGAUGUUUUCAAUACUAGAGGAAUAGAAAACCCUGCAGGACCACCGCCAGACCCUGGGCCUCCAUCUUAUGAAAAAUGUAUGGAGUUUAUGCUAUAUCCAGUCGAUGAGGGCGCUUCAACAUCUUAUGACGUAGAAAAUACUAAUUCGGACCUUCCACCAAGUUAUGAAACAGUGAUGGCAAAUUAUUUAUUCCAUAUGAACUACGAUGAUGAACCGUCAGACAUUUACCUAGCUCAAUGUAGUAUUAGUAGUACGUGGGAUGCGGGUGAUGUGGACAGUAAAACUGACGAUUUAGAAACAUUUGUUUAAACUAAAAAUUUGUAUAUGCAUAAAUGACAAGUGAUAUGAAGGCGGCAAUUGUGAAGACCUAUCGAUCACAUUCGGCAGAACAUUGGGCCUUGUAGAAAGAAAGCCUAAUGUAAUCUAUGCCAGACAGGUUGGAAAUUAAGGCGUUUACACUUUUUUACAGUCAUAAGAUGAUGGGAUAUUCAAAUUAUUGUAAUUUAUUUACUUAGAUUUCAUUAAAGUGGUAUUUCAAUUAAUGUUAUUUAAAUACAAAUGUGACUAUUAUUGCAAAGCAAAGUGAAGCGUGGUUUCCAUAAAAUCGCUGCAGGCUAUAGCAGACAGCUUUCGCUGACGCUGAUUGGUUGGUCGAAUCGGAGAGCUACACAGUGCGAAAGAUUGCAGUGAAAACGCUGUAAUGAAAGUGUAGCGAUUUUAUGGAAAUAAUGCGUAAUACAAAGGAGCUGCAAGCUACUAAUUUUACAAGAGACCGAAAAUGUAUAAUUAUGGACAGAUUUACAAUUUAUGCAGUAACUACGAGGAUAUGAAUCUAUCGUUCUAUUAUAUGCAAGUUCCGGAUCGAUUUGCACGUUUUAGUACCGUAGUCAUUAUGAUUUAUUUUAUCGCCAGGAACACUUUAGACACUAAUCGAAGAAAACCUUUAUUUAGAAGCAACUAAAAGACAAAUCUUUAAAAUACAAUUUGUUUCUUCUAAACUAGCUCUAUAUAAUAUUGCAACAGACUGAUUGUAAAUUUCUUUUACAUUAAAGAAUAUUAUGUAAGCCUUAUGUUGGUUAUGGCGUUUGUUGCAUAGACACCGCAUAAUAUUAAUUUAGAAAACAACUGCUGUACAGACUGCCAACAAUAAAUCGUCUUAAAUUUCGAUAGGCUAUUAGGAAGGUUACUUCUGUUCAGCUGACUGAAACGCUGAUUGAAAACCAACACUAAUAAACAACCGUUAAAUUGGUAUUAUUUCAAAGUAGUCGUUAUCAGAAAGGUUAUAAGUUUGCUAGGGAUUCACACUCGAGAGAGGUAAACAAUGGGUGUAGUGAAGCCAUUAUGAGCACAUGCCUAUUACUGACUAACCAUGAAUGACGGCUUCUAAAAAAAAAACAAAAAA